GGAUGUGAGGGUGAUCUGGCUGCGACAUCUGUCACCCUAUUGAUCUUCAGGGUUGAUUCGGCUGAUCUGGCUGGCUAGGUGGGUAUCCCCUUCCUCCCUCACUGCUCCAUAUGUGUCCCUCCUGAAGCUGUGUGCUUGGUCGAGAAGGACAACCUUCCCCGAUAGAGGAGGACUGUUCUUUGGUCAAGGGUGUACAAGUAGCUUUGCUCCCUUGCUAGAACCUCCAAACAAGCUCUCAAAGAAAUAACAAAACAUUCCAAACCUAGAGAAAGAUAAAAGAUGAGGCAUGGCAGGGACACAGU
rnacentral:snRNA from 1 species